GAAAACUCAGUAAGUGGGGUGCCACUUGCUCCUUUGAGAUAACACCUCAUUGAUUUAGAAACAUUGACCAUCUGAGUUACAACAGCAACCAUAUCUUUGUAAGAUGACAAGAGCUUACUCCUAUUAGCCUCCUGCUGCUUGAACAAUUUCCUACGUGCUUUUUUACGUAUAUCAGGCAUCUCUGUCAAUACACCUAACUCCAUUGCAUCCAUAUAUCUUUGGGAGAGAUAAGAAUUUACAACAUAAGUGGCGUGUGAUCGAGCAGUGGAGGAUAAAGAAAGCCAUUGCGUUCGAAGAGAAGACAACUUCGACCACUGGUUUCUCAGGUUUCGUUGCGCCGCUGGUCUCCAUCGCCGUAUAUCUUGAAAGGAUGACGGCGUCGAUGGCGUUGUUGGUGGCGCCGGCGAUUUUGCAGCCGGACUUUGAAUAUUCCAGUUCGUGGCUUCAUCGGAGGAAGCCGUAAAGGCAGAAAGUGACGGAAACGGCGCCGGAGUAAUUGGGAGGACUUUGGACUCCAUUGCUGUGA
rnacentral:misc_RNA from 1 species